GGCGGUGCAGAAAUACUGGUUCCCGGGAUCGCCUCCUCCCGCCAUCAGGGAGCUAGGGGAUCGGGGAGAGAGCAGCGGGCCUGCAGGUAAAGGUUGGAGAGAAGUCGAUGCCUAGGCCCGGUUGUCAGGGUGACCGCAACGGAACUCCCCACGGUCCGGACAGGAAAUGACGCGGGGUUGGAGCCGACUUCAAGAGUAAACCGCCAAAAACACAACAAAGAUGGGGAAUUGGGGGAAAUAUCCCUUUCCAUGACCAAGCAGGUCUGUGACGAAAGGACUAUUUGAAGAUUUUGCCAAAGUCUCUGAGUGUGGUAUACUAGCAUUUUGAUCUCCAAAUGAAGUGAAGUGGUUAUCGGGACAUUUUGCAAUGAGAAUACUAACGUGAUUGGUACUUGAACGCAUACUGCGCAGAGGAUGAGAAUGAUUGCAACAAUCCAAUAAAAAAAAGCCUGAAAAUGCUCACAAAGCCAUCGGAUUAUGUUGCAUUAACGGGACUGGAUAAUGUUCUUGGUGAGCUGGCAUCACUUGCAAAUUCUUGCAGAGAAGUUGUUUGACAAUGAUAGUGGCUAUGUAAUUUGCAAAAGCCAAAAUCAAUAAACUGAAGACUCAGUAUCAGUGCGAAUGUGCUUAUUGGAGUAAUGAUAUUAAGAAGAAGCAGGUAGCUCUUGACAGUGCCACUGCUCCUAUCCUUCAAUUUAUUCAACUGCUGCAUGACCAUCUGGAACACACAUUUCCAGAAGAGGAAUUAAUAGAGUGGUACGCACUUGAUCAGGUUACAAUUGCCAACACAAACUGAUUAUGAAUUUAGAAAAGACAGUGUUGUGAGACUAAUAUUCCACUCUGAAACCAAAUUAUGAUGAGAGUGUGGCUAGAAAGAUACGUGAACAACACUCUGAUUUCAAAUUAAUGAUGUGGAAAAAGUCAAGAUGGGUUCCAUUCAGAUAUUCAAUGAUUUAGCAGACUAUGGCCUACAAAAUGACCACUUUCAAGAGACUUUUUUUUUGACAUUUCUGCAACAUUUCAAGCAUCAAGCACUGACUGUGAGUAUGAGUUCAGCAUCGUGAAUUUGAUUAAGUGCAAAUCCAGAAAUAGAUAACUUGGGCAAUUUGAUGCGAAUUAAGUUUUACAUUUCAUUGAACAAAAUAACAACCUGAAUGCAUGAAAUGGUCAUUGGAUGGCAAAUACAGAUCAGCUGGAUAAGCCACUAAGAAAAGACUGAAGAAAUUACUAGCGUCCUCUUUUGGCUGUGAAUUAUACAUAGUGUAUUUAGUGCCACCGCUAAACAGGUCUCCACACUGUUGAGCCAAAGAAGUAAUUUUGUUUAUUUUAUCAGGUAGAAUGCUUGUAACUGUAAAGUAAUAUCAAUGUACAAUUUUAAUAAUUAUUAAACAAACUGUGAAAAUCA